rnacentral:rRNA from 1 species
GUGACCUGCGGAGGAUCAUUACACAGCCCACGCCCUGGUCCGUCCAGGGGCAGAUGGGGGGUGCGCCAGCGCCCAACCCCACACUCUCUGCGUACGAAUCCCCGUUGCUUCCCCGGGGAGGGACAAACCACCCCGGGGGAGGACCACCCAGGAGCACACGAUGCCGACCAACAGACCUUUCCACCCCCCCCUGUCUGAAGGGCCAGAGUGCCAUGAAGUAAGGAGCGAGCGAGAGAGACGAAUGCAAAAAACUUUCAACAACGGAUCUCUUGGUUCCCGCAUCGAUGAAGAACGCAGCGAAAUGCGAUAAGUAAUGUGAAUUGCAGAAUUCAGUGAAUCAUCGAAUCUUUGAACGCACAUUGCGCCCCCUGGCAUUCCGGGGGGCAUGCCUGUUCGAGCGUCUCCGAGAAGAAGACUCACGCGGCGCAAAGCGUGGUGGUGGCGGCGGCGGCGAUCCCGAGAGGGCAGCCACCCCGGCGGAAUGGAUGGGCGGACGACUGCCGCGUCCCUGAGCGUGAUAUUUUGCUAUCGCCUCGAGCGCGGCGAGGCACCCAGCCCUGGCCAGUCGCCUCCCGCAUCUGAGAGUGUGAUAUUUCGCUAUCGCCUCCAGAGCGGCGAGGCAGCCAGCCCUGCCGCCCGGGCAGGGCGGAGAGACCUGUGUCAUUGGAACUCCUCGAAUCAGGUAGGGAUACCCGCUGAACUUUAA